CCUACGGGAGGCAGCAGUGAGGAAUAUUGGUCAAUGGACGCAAGUCUGAACCAGCCAUGCCGCGUGCAGGAAGACGGCCCUAUGAGUUGUAAACUGCUUUUGUACGAGGGUAAACGCAGAGACGCGUAUCUGUCUGAAAGUAUCGUACGAAUAAGGAUCGGCCAACGCAGUGCCAGCAGACGCGGUAAUACGGAGGAUUCAAGCGUUAUCCGGAUUUAUUGGGGUUAAAGGGUGCGUAGGCGGUCGGAUAAGUUAGAGGUGAAAUCCCGGGGCUCAACUUCGGAAUUGCCUCUGAUACUGGUCGGCUAGAGUGUAGUAGAGGUAGGCGGAAUGUAUGGUGUAGCGGUGAAAUGCGUAGAGAUC
rnacentral:rRNA from 1 species